CAAGGUUUGCUCGGUGUGACAUCGACCAUUUCCUGUUGCUUACAAGAUGCAGAGCUCUCAGCUACUUCUCCAGCACCACGUCUGCCUGCGUGCCGCCAUGGUCCACCAUGAUGAUAAUGGACUGAACCUCUGAACUUUUGGGAUUCAAGGCGAUGAGAUGGGGCUGCCCACAUGCUUCCCGUCUUAGAUGACUCUCCCGGGAAGUGGACUCACAGACAGACAUGCCCAGGGACAACCGUCCUAGGCGGAUGCAAAGCAGAUGGAAGGCUGGCCUUGCCUGUGGAGUGCUCUCCAGCCAAAUGAACCACCCACAGCUGAACCCCGAAAGCCUGAGGCUCUGUGAUACCUGGUGCUACAGCACACUGGAAGGAGCUGAGAAACUGAAGACAGACAGUUCUUAGGGGGUCUGGAUCCUUUGCCUUCCCCUGCCACCUGCUUGAAUAAAGUUGGAAGUUUUCUUUCUCAGAGAUACUGAGCCCCAAGGGCUCUGGGCAUCACCUCAGAAUACACAGAGGAGAACAGGAAUGGGAUCCAGGACUCUUGCUGGAAAGUCCUCGCUGCUGAUGAUCACUGCAUCCAAGUGUACAUCCUACGGGAAGGAAGGCAAGGAUUUCCCCUGGGAGAACCAGCAGACAGAAAGAAAAGACUGCUUCAGGCUCCCACCCUGAGAAACCCGCACCACCACUAGGUUGCAGCCAACUUGCUUCCCCAGCUCACGAGUCCUCUAGCUACGCCUGAAAGCAAUCCACAGUCAGGUCUGGGAUCUGAGGAUUCAAUAUGAACAGGCUGCUUUCAGGCAUCAGCAUCUGAAUCAACAUGAAAGAGAUUCGGGUCAUUCAAGUGGGGAAGAGAGAUUUAGUAGAAAUGGGAAUGAUGCAGGCAACAGAACAAGACCUUGGAAACACACAGAAAAAGAGAACAUUUAAUAUUCUUAGAGAGUUAAGAGAUGUUCAUUCAUCAAAAGCAGGAUGCUUUGAUUCAGGGACCAUCAAAGAACAAGAAAAAAAGAGCCUAGAGAAGUUAAAAAAUAGAAGAACUUUUAAAUGAACAAAGUGGGACUACCUCCCAGGAAAUUAACAACAAAAAAGAGGUGUGGCCAAUAGUGAAGUCAUACAAAAUGAAAGCAUUGAUCGCAAGGGCUAACAUUUACUGACAGGGAUUCCAGAGACUAAAGAGAGGAAAAGUGAAGAAAUGAUACCAGAAAACUUCCUAUGAGUUUGAAAAGAUCCACACCAGUUUCCACCACUUGACAUUUCAAAGUGUGGGCGCAAAGAAGACUCCAAGUAUCUCCUUAGAGAGACAACUACCGGCUCCAUUCAAAUAGGAAUGGGGGUGACAUGGAACUUCAAGCUGCACCUUUGGGUGCCAGAAGACAAAAGAAAGGAAAUGAUGAUGUGUUUCUGUCUUCAGAGUCGGUUCAUUGAACCAAAAUGAUUAAUGUGUCUGUAUUGAGAGAAUAGAGGGAAGAGAACAGGAGGAAGUGUCAUAGUCUUCUAUGAAGUGAUAUCUGUUGUAGAAUGUGAUUUUGAGGUGUGUUACAUAUUUUUAUGCCCUGAAACGUUUGUUUAAUGAUACAAAGAUGUGCUGCA